CUAUAAAAGAAUAAAACUCACCUUAUUUCCAGCUCCGCGCAGGUCUGCCGAUAGGGAAAGCAUUGGAUUGGCUAAAAUCAGUAAGGGCGGGCCCAAAUGUAAUUUUGGCCAACCAGGACCUCCUCAUAGAGAUGCAUUGAAUCAAUGCAUCGCUAUGAGGAAAAUUCAGUGCAGUCCUGAGCCAAGCAGCCCCUCUAGAUGCCAUCUAAGGAGUGGCCACUUAGAGGUGUCCCUAGAGGCAAUGUAAAUAUUGCCUUUUCC